GACGAACGCUGGCGGCGUGCCUAACACAUGCAAGUCGAGCGAGUGGAUCUCCUUCGGGAGUGAAGCUAGCGGCGGACGGGUGAGUAACACGUGGGCAACCUGCCUCAUAGAGGGGAAUAGCCUUUCGAAAGGAAGAUUAAUACCGCAUAAGAUUGUAACUUCGCAUGAAGUAGCAAUUAAAGGAGCAAUCCGCUAUGAGAUGGGCCCGCGGGGCAUUAGCUAGUUGGUGAGGUAACGGCUCACCAAGGCGACGAUGCGUAACCGACCUGAGAGGGUGAUCGGCCACAUUGGGACUGAGACACGGCCCAGACUCCUACGGGAGGCAGCAGUGGGGAAUAUUGCACAAUGGGGGAAACCCUGAUGCAGCAACGCCGCGUGAGUGAUGACGGCCUUCGGGUUGUAAAGCUCUGUCUUCAGGGACGAUAAUGACGGUACCUGAGGAGGAAGCCACGGCUAACUACGUGCCAGCAGCCGCAGUAA
rnacentral:rRNA from 1 species